rnacentral:sRNA from 1 species
UAAUAAAAUAUGACCCCAUUAAGGUAUAAUUCUUUGUACGCCGGAUGGGCCCUUGUAACUAGACCAUAACUCUAUCGGAUAAACUUAUGUAAGAAAAGAAUGAAAGUACCAGUACCAGAUUAAGAUGAGGCAAGGAAGUGAUCUUAUACUCGUGCAUAACCCAACGACUACUCUCACCCUUGGCUUUAGGAGCAUCAAGGUCAUCGAACCAGAAGACCCUGACUUCUCCAAUCUUGUUUCUACUCUGAUCUGAUUACCGUUUUAACGCCACUGUUUUUCCAUUUCCAAGUUUUGAUACUUCUCUUCCUGGCUUAUGUUUUAAUUUCUUACGCUUUCUCACAUAUAAAAAUGGUAGUUUUCUCAGAAAAUUAAUUAAAAGUUGUAUCUAUCACUGGCUUAGUGGGUCAUUAAAUUACGGCACAUGAACCUGAUACAACAUUAGUGUAACAGAGUUGAAAUAUGUGGUAUGAGUUAAAUGAUAAUUCACAAAAACAAUUGUUAUGAUAAUACUAGAAUGUCAACCCGUACGUAGUACGGGUAAAAGAAAACUAUUGUAUAUGGUAGGUGACUAAUUUUUUGAUUGGUUAAAAAUACGUUGAUAAUAGUUU